GUGGGGAAUCUUGCGCAAUGGGCGAAAGCCUGACGCAGCAACGCCGCGUGCGGGAUGACGGCCUUCAAGGUUGUAAACCGCUUUCAGCAGGGACGAAAAUGACGGUACCUGCAGAAGAAGCCCCGGCUAACUACGUGCCAGCAGCCGCGGUAAUACGUAGGGGGCAAGCGUUGUCCGGAUUCAUUGGGCGUAAAGAGCUCGUAGGCGGUUCAGUAAGUCGGGUGUGAAAGCUCCGAGCUCAACUCGGAGAGGCCACCCGAUACUGCUGUGACUUGAGUACAGUAGGGGAGCGUGGAAUUCCUGGUGUAGCGGUGAAAUGCGCAGAUAUCAGGAGGGACACCAGCGGCGAAGGCGGCGCUCUGGGCUGUAACUGACGCUGAGGAGCGAAAGUGUGGGUAGCAAACAGGAUUAGAAACCCGUGUAGUCC
rnacentral:rRNA from 1 species